rnacentral:lncRNA from 1 species
AAGUUUUGUUUUGGUAAUUAAUGACACCAAGUUGCUAAUGCCUUGUGUUUAAGUGAUUUGAGUUAGGCAUAGCAACACAUGUGACGAAGGUGCAAGAUGGCAUGGAAAGGUGGCCACAUGAUUACAAAGAGAUGAAGCAUGGAGUAGAGAUCAUGGUGGUGGACAAGGAAUUAACUGAUCAAGGCAGAGGUAUAAACAUAGGGUUUUACUUUUGCCGGUCUAAGUUGAGUAGAGAAGUGAUUGACCGGAUUUAGGAUAGAUAGCCGACUAUCA